rnacentral:rRNA from 1 species
GCAUAUCAAUAAGCGGAGGAAAAGAAACUAACAAGGAUUCCCCUAGUAACGGCGAGUGAAGCGGGAUGAGCUCAAAUUUAAAAUCUGGCAGUCUAAGAUUGUCCGAGUUGUAGUCUAGAGAAGCGUUUUCCGCGUAGGCCUGUGUACAAGUCCCUUGGAAUAGGGCGUCAUAGAGGGUGAGAAUCCCGUCCUUGACACAGAUCAUCUAUGCUCUGCGAUGCGCUCUCGAAGAGUCGAGUUGUUUGGGAAUGCAGCUCAAAAUGGGUGGUAAAUUCCAUCUAAAGCUAAAUAUUGGCGAGAGACCGAUAGCGAACAAGUACCGUGAGGGAAAGAUGAAAAGCACUUUGGAAAGAGAGUUAAACAGUACGUGAAAUUGUUGAAAGGGAAACGAUUGAAGUCAGUCAUGUGGUUUGAGGUUCAGCCGGUUCUGCCGGUGUAUUCCUCAGACUACAGGCCAGCAUCAGUUUCGACCGGUGGAAAAAGUUGGAGGGAACGUGGCAUCCUCGGAUGUGUUAUAGCCCUCUUUCACAUGCAUCGGACGGGACUGAGGAACGCAGCGUGCCUUUAUGGUCGGUCUUCGGACACGAACGCGCUUAGGAUGCUGGCAUAAUGGCUUUAAACGACCCGUCUUGAAACACGGACCAAGGAGUCUAA